rnacentral:rRNA from 1 species
GGGUACGGUCGGGGGACUCUAGAGAUUAGAGUUUGAUCCUGGCUCAGGACGAACGCUGGCGGCGUGCUUAACACAUGCAAGUCGAACGAUGAAGACCGGUGCUUGCACUGGUUGGAUUAGUGGCGAACGGGUGAGUAAUACGUGAGUAACCUGCCUUUGACUCUGGGAUAAGCCUUGGAAACGAGGUCUAAUACCGGAUAUGACACAGUUUCGCAUGAAAUCUGUGUGGAAAGGGUUUGUACUGGUUUUAGAUGGGCUCACGGCCUAUCAGCUUGUUGGUGGGGUAAUGGCUCACCAAGGCGACGACGGGUAGCCGGCCUGAGAGGGUGACCGGCCACACUGGGACUGAGACACGGCCCAGACUCCUACGGGAGGCAGCAGUGGGGAAUAUUGCACAAUGGGCGCAAGCCUGAUGCAGCGACGCCGCGUGAGGGAUGACGGCCUUCGGGUUGUAAACCUCUUUCAGCAGGGGAGAAGCGAAAGUGACGGUACCUGCAGAAGAAGCGCCGGCUAACUACGUGCCAGCAGCCGCGGUAAUACGUAGGGCGCGAGCGUUGUCCGGAAUUAUUGGGCGUAAAGAGCUUGUAGGCGGUUUGUCGCGUCUGCUGUGAAAGCCCGGGGCUUAACUCCGGGUUUGCAGUGGGUACGGGCUAACUAGAGUGCAGUAGGGGAGACUGGAAUUCCUGGUGUAGCGGUGGAAUGCGCAGAUAUCAGGAGGAACACCGAUGGCGAAGGCAGGUCUCUGGGCUGUAACUGACGCUGAGAAGCGAAAGCAUGGGGAGCGAACAGGAUUAGAUACCCUGGUAGUCCAUGCCGUAAACGUUGGGCACUAGGUGUGGGGGACAUUCCACGUUUUCCGCGCCGUAGCUAACGCAUUAAGUGCCCCGCCUGGGGAGUACGGCCGCAAGGCUAAAACUCAAAGAAAUUGACGGGGGCCCGCACAAGCGGCGGAGCAUGCGGAUUAAUUUCGAUGCAACGCGAAGAACCUUACCAAGGCUUGACAUAUACUGGAACUC